UACGAAGGGGGCUAGCGUUGCUCGGAAUCACUGGGCGUAAAGGGUGCGCAGGCGGUCUGUUAAGACCGAUGUGAAAUCCCCGGGCUUAACCUGGGAACUGCAUUGGUGACUGGCAGGCUUUGAGUGUGGCAGAGGGAGGUAGAAUUCCACGUGUAGCAGUGAAAUGCGUAGAGAUGUGGAGGAAUACCGAUGGCGAAGGCAGCCUCCUGGGCCAACACUGACGCUCAUGCACGAAAGCGUGGGGAGCAAACAGG
rnacentral:rRNA from 1 species